UCUGAUUAUGAAGCUUUUGACUCCAGUCAGGAUGCUGUUUCCCUAGCAUUUGAAGUAGCUCUUAUGAAUCAUUUAAACAUCCCGAUGGAUUUAGUUGAGGAAUAUAUUCAACUCAAAACACAUUUGGAUAGCAAGUUGGGGACUUUGGCUAUAAUGAGAUUCACUGGAGAGUUUGCAACGUUUUUGUUCAACACUCUAAUGAAUAUGGUCUUUACAUUCAUGAAAUAUAAGAUAGAUGACAGCAUAUCCAUAUGCUUUGCUGGUGAUGACAUGUGUGCA
rnacentral:misc_RNA from 1 species